CCUACGGGAGGCAGCAGUGAGGAAUAUUGGUCAAUGGGCGCGAGCCUGAACCAGCCAAGUAGCGUGAAGGAUGACUGCCCUAUGGGUUGUACACUUCUUUUAUAAAGGAAUAAAGUGAUGCACGUGUGCCUUUUUGUAUGUACUUUAUGAAUAAGGAUCGGCUAACUCCGUGCCAGCAGCCGCGGUACUACGGAGGAUCCGUGCGUUAUCCGGAUUUAUUGGGUUUAAAGGUUGCGUAGGCGGCCUUUUAAGUCAGCUGUGAAAGUUUGUGGCUCAACCAUAAAAUUGCCGUUGAAACUGGAAGGCUUGAGUAUGUUUGAGGCAGGCGGAAGGCGUGGUGUAGCGGUGAAAGGCUUAGAUAUCACGCAGAACCCCGAUUGCGAAGGCAGCCUGCCAAGCCAUGACUGACGCUGAUGCACGAAAGCGUGGGGAUCAAACAGGAUUAGAUACCCGAGUAGUC
rnacentral:rRNA from 1 species